rnacentral:tRNA from 1 species
GCCCGGAUGGCGGAAUUGGCAGACGCAGCAGACUCAAAAUCUGCCGACCGAAAGGUCAUUGUGGGUUCGACCCCCUCUCCGGGCACCA